UUAUUGUAGCAGGUGUUUAUUGUAACAGGUGUUUAUUGUAGCAGGUGUUUAUUGUAACAGGCUUGUCAGGUGUUUAUUGUAGCAGGUGUUUAUUGUAACAGGCCUGUCAGGUGUUUAUUGUAGCAGGUGUUUAUUGUAACAGGCCUGUCAGGUGUUUAUUGUAACAGGCCUGUCAGGUGUUUAUUGUAGCAGGUGUUUAUUGUAACAGGCCUGUCAGGUGUUUAUUGUAACAGGUGUUU